AUGCGGAAGAAGGCGAAGGCCGUGCCGGAGUGGCUGAACAGCCCGCUCUGGUCGACCCCGCCGCUCGCCUCGACCCUCGCCGACCCCUUCGGCACCGACUUCUCCCCGCCGCCUGCCCCGUCCCCCGAGCCGUCUCCUUCCGUUCCGCCGCCACCGAUGCGCGAGCAGGCGGUCGAUUCCCAUGCUGGCCGCGAGGGAGAGACACGAGAAGAGGACAGCGCCGGCGCUGCUCUCCGGGCGCACUUGCUUGCCGACUUCAAGGCCGCGCUGUCUAAGAAGGUGGUGAACAUGGGGGAGCUGCGGAGACUCGCUUGCCUUGGCGUGCCAGAUGGCGGCGGCACGGACGUACGACCGCUCGUGUGGAAGCUUCUCUUGGGGUAUUUGCCAACUGAACGCUCUUUAUGGCCUUAUGAACUAGAAAAGAAGCGAAGCCAGUACAGUGCAUAUAAAGAUGAGUUUCUUCUAAAUCCUUCAGAAAAAUUAUGUAGAAUCGAGGAAUCAAAGCUGUCAAGAAAGAAAGAAUUAACUGGUGAAAGGAAUGGCUUGCUCCCAAGGUCAGAAGUAACUAAUGAAGAGCAUCCUUUGAGCUUUGGUAAAUCUAGCUUGUGGAACCAAUACUUCCAGGAAUCAGAGAUCCUGGAGCAGAUAGACCGAGAUGUGAAGCGAACACAUCCAGACAAGUCGUUUUUUUCUGCCAAGUCUAACCAGGAAUCACUAAGGCGUAUUCUCAUUAUAUUUUCAAGAUUAUACCCUAGUGUAAGAUAUGUGCAAGGGUUGAAUGAAGUUUUGGCACCUCUAUUUUACGUAUUGAAGAACGACCUUGACACAAGUAACUCGACUUCAGCUGAAGCAGACACUUUCUUUUGCUUUGUUGAAUUGAUUAGUGGCUUUAAAAACAACUAUUGUAAACAUCUUGACAACAGCCGGGUGGGUAUUCGGGCUACACUUUCAAAGUUAUCUCAACUCUUAAAGAAACAUGACGAAGAGCUAUGGCGUCAUAUGGAGGUCAUUACAAAGGUGUACCCGCAAUACUAUGCAUUUAGAUGGAUUACAUUACUGUUGACAAUGGAGUUCAGCUUCAAUGUGUGUAUUCACAUCUGGGAUGCCAUGUUGGGCGAUCCCGAAGGUUCUCCGGACACCUUGCUGAGGAUAUGCUGUGCUAUGCUCAUCCUUGUCCGGAAGCGGCUCCUGGUUGGAGAUUUCACCGCCAAUAUCCAGCUGCUGCAGCACUACCCGCAAACUAACAUAGAUCACCUCCUCCACAUCGCUAACAGAUUGAGAGGAACCAUGCCCAGCUAG
rnacentral:rRNA from 1 species